rnacentral:lncRNA from 1 species
UCAAUCAGUUUAGGAGUAAUAAAUAGGACGGAAGUAGAGGCUAAAGCAAAGGGCUUCUUGGAAGCUUUCCCAAAAGUGAGAGUGAAACAAGGGUCCCUGUCUGACACCACAAAAAAAGAAUGCCAUGGAGUUAGACAAUCUCAUUGACAUAUAAUCGAGUCAACUUACUAGUUGAGUUAGUAGUCUUAAUUGCAAAAAAAUGGGCAGACCUGGUCAAUUUGUCCAUAAUGACCUAUAUGGCAUUACAAUUAGAGCUGGUUCUCAGU